AUACGUAGGUGGCAAGCGUUGUCCGGAUUUACUGGGUGUAAAGGGCGUGUAGGCGGAGAUGCAAGUCAGGAGUGAAAUCUAGGGGCUCAACCCCUAAACUGCUUUUGAAACUGUAUCCCUUGAGUAUCGGAGAGGCAGGCGGAAUUCCUAGUGUAGCGGUGAAUGCGUAGAUAUUAGGGGGAACACCAGUGGCGAAGGCGGCCUGCUGGACGACAAGUGAAGCUGAGGCGCGAAAGCGUGGGGAGCAAACAAGAUUAGAUUCCCUGGUAGUCCACGCUGUAAACGAUGAAUACUAGGUGUGGGGGGACUGACCCCCUCCGUGCCGCAGUUAACACAAUAAGUAUUCCACCUGGGGAGUACGAUCGCAAGAUUGAAACUCAAAUGAAUUGACGGGG
rnacentral:rRNA from 1 species